GCCAUUAACAAAGAUGGCGCCCCGCUUCCUCUUUCCUAAGCCCUAGCCCGGCCGGUCCCAGCACCACAGGGCCGCUGCUCCCCGCUCCGCGGUCUCACGUUGCCUCAACCCCAGGCACUCCCGCAUGGCCGAGACUGCCGGCUCCCCGCGCCGUUCCACCGCGGACAGGAGCGGAGGGAGCGGUGCGGGAGCGGCGAGAGCCCGCUGGCGGCUGCUCGGACAGGUUCUGAAGAAAAAGCACUUGAAGGAUGUGCAUCUCCAACAAGUGUCUGUGAGAAGAUUCACGUCGUUCAAUCUCUUUUCAGUAGAUGGCCAGGAUACUGAAGAGGAAACUGGGAUCUGGGUCCAGUAUAAAAGCAUCUUUUAUCCUGAGUAUAGUGUGUCCAUAAGAUUGCACAAUGGACUCUUAAAUGUUAAAGAUGUUCUUACAAGCUUUGACAACACAGGAAAUGUCUGUCUCUGGCCAUCUGAAGAAGUACUGGCUUACUACUGCCUAAAGCACAGGGAAAUAUUCAGGGACCUUGCUGUGUGUGAGCUAGGGGGUGGCAUGACAUGCUUGGCUGGGCUCAUGGUUGCUAUUUCUGCAGAUGUCAAAGAAGUUCUGUUAACUGAUGGAAAUGAAAAGGCCAUCAAAAAUGUAAGUGACAUCAUCACAAGAAACGUAAUUGCAGGAGUAUUUAAGACUCAGAAAGUGUCAAGCUGCAUUUUACGAUGGGAUAAUGAGACAGAUGUCUCUCAACUGGAAGGACAUUUUGACAUUGUUAUGUGUGCUGACUGCCUGUUUCUGGACCGGUACAGAGCUAGCCUUGUUGAUGCAAUAAAGAGAUUACUCCAACCCAGUGGAAAAGCAAUGGUAUUUGCUCCGCACAGAGGGAAUACUUUAAACCAGUUUUGCAAUCUAGCUGAAAAAGCUGGUUUCUCUAUCCAAAGACAUGAAAAUUAUGAUGAACACAUUUCGAACUUCCACUCCAAGGCAAAGGAAGACCUCAUCGCCUUUUAAAAUCUAUAUCCAGGGUACAGCUACAGAACUGUGUAACACUGAGAAUAUUAAUUGAAAAAGGAAGAAAAAGAUACAUAUGAUGAAAACCUCCACUACCCUCUUCUUCUUGUUUUAACCAAACCCGGAUAGAAGAUGACACUUUUUUGUUGUUAUUUUAAGAUGGACUGCUGAAAAUUAACCCAUGUACCUGGAUAGUCAGGAAAUGGGAGGGUUCUGUUCCCCCCUUUUAUUCUUGAGUCAUCAUCAGAGAAAUAUUUUAAUGUAAGUGCCGAGGAAGAUAUCUGGUUUGUUUCACAGUGUUUAAACAUCAUGACUUUAUUUUGAUAUCAUUUUAGAAUGUAUUUUUCGAAUUAUUUUUCAGCCUAAACACCAUCGGACAUCAAAUGUAUACGUUAACCAAGGUGUGAAAGCUGGCUUCCUUCUCUUUUGUGCCUUUAAACUUGUAUGUAGUUUGUUAACCUCUUUAAAUGUUACUGUGGGGCCACAUUUGAAAAUACAUAAAUAAUACACUUUGUGGUUUUACGUAACUGCCUGUAAAGUGGUAAAUGCAUUCACCUUUAAUUAGUAAGUAAAUGGUUGUCUUAAAAUCUUUAAAAAGUACACCUAUUACAUCCUCAGAUUUUUCUUCCUUUUUUUUUUUUUUUUUUUUUUUUUUUUGAAAUUAAGCUGUUGAUUUUUCUGUCGAUAAUUGAGGUGUCCUCAUUUGCUGUGAUGAAGGCUUUUUUUUUAAUACAGAUAGGGGUGUCCGUGUGUUGUUUUGUUUUUUUUUUUUUUUCCAGCAAGACUUUUCCUCUUCUAGAUGUAUAAGAAAUUAUGCGUCAGACAAAAGCUUCAUAAACUGACCAUUUGUCCUUUGGACACAAUAGCCUGCCCAGCCCCUCUGCUCCUCCUCUCCAAUUAUGUGUGAUUAGUCUCAGUGUGUUGUGUCAAGAAGGGGGAGUGUGCUGAGCGCUUAUUAUCUGUUUAGGUACAAGAAGAGCACAUUUAGGUUCUGACUAUGAAUGGAAAGUGAGCCUUUAUCAGGGCUAAAAUCUAAAUGCUACUAUUCUGAAAAUCGCUUUUAAAAAUGCAUCCUUUUUUGAUAGAUUCUGAGAAAGACUCUAACAACUAAAGGAGUUUGUAACGUAAUCAAACUGCCUCGCUCAAAUUAGUUUGCACUGUGAUGUAUCAUGGCCCAAGAGUAUGAUAAACAUUUGAUAUGACUUUUUGUACUGGGAAAGAAAAAAUCCUACCAAGAGAUGGAAAUGAUUUCUUUUUCCCCUAACAGGUUAAUAGGGCAUUUUAAUCAACUUCUGACAAAAACAAAGCCGGAAUCAUUACAGAAUCCUGUACUCUCUCUUAAGCCAGAACAAUUUUAAAAUGAUGAAAAAGAGAAAGAGAGAGCAUAACUGAAAGAGAGAGGUACUAUCUAGGAAGCAGAGUAGAUGCUGAAAUAUAUUAAAUAAAAGAAUUGCAGUUUGGUAAUAAGCGUUCUUCCAUAUUCAAAUAUGGAUCAAACAAAUUGGGCAGCAUGUGAACCACAAGCUCAUGAAGGUCCUUUUCUCUUCACACUUCUGCUCAAAUUUCUUCACUACCAGUUUGCAUGUCCUUGUAUUCAAUACUUUUUAUGCUCCAUUAGAGCACCUAGAUGGAUCUCAGAAGGCAUAGGUCAAGUCGCAGUUAGAUCAUACAUUUCUUUCUCACAAAAACUUGAAUUGCAAUGCCAAGUGAUGGGCUAACAUCACAAUAACAGCAAUUUAUUCCUCUUUUGAUAAAAAGCAGCCUAUUCUCAGUGUUAGAUAAAGACCAGGGGCAAUGCAAACCAACCAUUUAUACUAGAACUGAGUAGUAUAUCUCCCUUAUAGCUGGUAUGAGUUUCAUAUUCAAACUCUAGUUGGAAGAUACCUGUCUAGCAGGAAAUGAAAAGUAAUUGAGAGUUAUUUAAAAUUGCUGUAAAGCUGGCUUUGGUUUCAUUUUUAUUUUGUUCUGUGUGUCCCACACAGCAAAGUCUUUGUUUUCUCUAGAAAUACAUACAAGGAAAUCUUUAUAAUCAACAAAGGGGUGUAAAAAAUAGUGAAAUAUUACCAUUUGUGGACCUUUUGUUUCUGGGAGGGCUUGAAUGUCUGCUGUAACAAUAAUCUAAUAAAUAUUAUUAGCUGCCAAAAACA